UUACGACCAGGGCUACACACGUGCUACAAUGGCGCAUACAAAGAGAAGCGACCUCGCGAGAGCAAGCGGACCUCAUAAAGUGCGUCGUAGUCCGGAUUGGAGUCUGCAACUCGACUCCAUGAAGUCGGAAUCGCUAGUAAUCGUGGAUCAGAAUGCCACGGUGAAUACGUUCCCGGGCCUUGUACACACCGCCCGUCACACCAUGGGAGUGGGUUGCAAAAGAAGUAGGUAGCUUAACCUUCGGGAGGGCGCUUACCACUUUGUGAUUCAUGACUGGGGUGAAGUCGUAACAAGGUAACCGUAGGGGAACCUGCGGUUGGA
rnacentral:rRNA from 1 species